CAGGAACUAGUUCGGCACCACGGGAGUGAGAACUCACUCGCUUUCCUGAGAACUGCCCAAAACACACAAGAAAGACAUUAAGCCAUCCACUGAAACCUCCACAUGUUCCCACGGAUUGAUUUAGAGGGAUACUCAACCCACAACUAUGGGGUAUCAAGAUCUCAUGAACCCAAAGAGGACACUUAGACCAGGAAGCAGAGGGUGAGAGGCCAGAAAGAGAGGGGUCCCCUGUCACCCAGAGUGAGAAGCCCCCCUCCCGUUCUCAGAGCUCACGUAGGGUGGGGCACUGUGUUUGUUUACACUGGGCAGCUGGGAGAUCUUCCCCUGAAGGACAGGCUCCACACAGCACAGUAUCCUCACUGCCAAGUGCUCUUCGGGUGUCCGUCUCUGCCAUCAGUAUUUUUAGCAUAUGGCCUUUGGAGCCCGAAGAACAACGUCCACCUCCCAGAACUGGUCCUCCAGCUGACAGAUAGGACUGCAUGAAAGAGGGCACUUCAGCAGAGGCCAACCGAGUCGGUGCAAAUCAGAUGCUAACGGCAACCCCUCCGCCCAGAAAUCCCAAGUGGAAGGACGCCUCUCGUGAAAUUGCCUUCCGUGACAGUUACAGACAGCCUGAAGGGAAUACCUGUCCAGGUGAUACGGGACAAGAAAAACACCACGAUGUAAGCAUCGUUUCUACAGAUCUCACAACAGGCCCCAAGCCAACCCCGUUGGGAUUCGUAUCAUGCUUUGUUGCACCAGAUGAAGUCUGAUCUGGGACCGUGCCAGAAAACACGGAAGGAAGACGAGAAAGGGUGAAGAGCUUCUAAAUUAGAUUCUGCUGGGGCCAGGAAAGCAGACACGACUGCCGUGGAGAAGGUCAAUGCAAGCAUUUUAAAAUCGUGUCUUCCUUUUCAUGAUAAUCAAACAUUAAAAUGAGUGCAUUCUCUGCUCUCUGGAAAA
rnacentral:lncRNA from 1 species